rnacentral:rRNA from 1 species
UGGCGGACGGGUGAGUAACGCGUGAGGAUCUGCCCUUAGGAUGGGGAUAACAGUUGGAAACGACUGCUAAUACCCAAUGUGCCGAGAGGUGAAAGAUUUAUUGCCUGAGGAAGAACUCGCGUCUGAUUAGCUAGUUGGUAGUGUAAAGGACUACCAAGGCAACGAUCAGUAGCUGGUCUGAGAGGAUGAUCAGCCACACUGGGACUGAGACACGGCCCAGACUCCUACGGGAGGCAGCAGUGGGGAAUUUUCCGCAAUGGGCGCAAGCCUGACGGAGCAACGCCGCGUGAGGGAGGAAGGCCUUUGGGUUGUAAACCUCUUUUCUCAAGGAAGAAGAUCUGACGGUACUUGAGGAAUAAGCAUCGGCUAACUCCGUGCCAGCAGCCGCGGUAAG